rnacentral:rRNA from 1 species
UCUUGGUCAUUUAGAGGAAGUAAAAGUCGUAACAAGGUCUCCGUUGGUGAACCAGCGGAGGGAUCAUUACAGAGUUUUCUAAACUCCCAACCCUUGCGAACCAUACCCAUACUGUUCUCGUUGCUUCCGGCGGGGGACGGGUGGGGGGCUGCCCUCGCGCAGUCCCUCCCCUCCCGCGCCGGGGGCGGCGGGCCCUAUGAACCUUUACAUCUCAACCACAAGAAAACCGUCUGAGAAAAAAAACAAAUAAUCAAAACUUUCAACAACGGAUCUCUUGGCUCUGGCAUCGAUGAAGAACGCAGCGAAAUGCGAUACGUAAUGUGAAUUGCAGAAUUCAGCGAACCAUCGAAUCUUUGAACGCACAUUGCGCCCGCCAGUAUUCUGGCGGGCAUGCCUGUCCGAGCGUCAUUUCCCCCCUCACGCGCCUCGUUGCGCGCUGGUGUUGGGGCUCCUCCGCCUGGCGGAGGGCCCCGAAAGCGAGUGGCGGGCCCGUCUGGCGGCUCCGAGCGCAGUACCGAACGCAAGUUCUCUCCUCGCCCGGACGCCCCGUCGGCGCCUUGCCAGCCCAAAUCGCGCAUGACGUGCAACUCUUUUACAAGGUUGACCUCGGAUCAGGUAGGACUACCCGCUGAACUUAAGCAUAUCAAUAAGCGGGAGGAA